UACGAAGGGGGCUAGCGUUGCUCGGAAUCACUGGGCGUAAAGGGUGCGUAGGCGGGUCUUUAAGUCAGGGGUGAAAUCCUGGAGCUCAACUCCAGAACUGCCUUUGAUACUGAAGAUCUUGAGUUCGGGAGAGGUGAGUGGAACUGCGAGUGUAGAGGUGAAAUUCGUAGAUAUUCGCAAGAACACCAGUGGCGAAGGCGGCUCACUGGCCCGAUACUGACGCUGAGGCACGAAAGCGUGGGGAGCAAACAGGGAUUAAGAAACC
rnacentral:rRNA from 1 species